UGAGAGGAUGAUACACAGGUGGAAGUAAGAUGUGUUCUCUUGUCCCAAACCUUCCUUACAAUAAAACUGCCUUCUGUUGACUGGGGCGAACUGAGAGAAAUCACAACGGACUGAUACAAGGCUGACAAGC